rnacentral:rRNA from 1 species
GACAGAGGAUGCAAGUGUUAUCCGGAAUUAUUGGGCGUAAAGAGUUUGUAGGUGGAUUUUUAAGUCUUAUGUUAAAUAUCUAAACUCAAUUUAGAAAAUGCAUAAGAAACUAUAAAUCUAGAGUAUUAUAGAGGUAAAGGGAAUUCUCAGUGUAGCGGUGAAAUGCGUAGAUAUUGAGAAGAACACCAAAGGCGAAAGCACUUUACUAUAUUAAGACUGACACUGAGAAACGAAAGCUAGGGGAGCAAACAGG